rnacentral:rRNA from 1 species
UACGUAGGGUGCAAGCGUUGUCCGGAAUUAUUGGGCGUAAAGAGCUCGUAGGCGGUUUGUCGCGUCGAAUGUGAAAUCCCCGAGCUCAACUCGGGAACUGCGUCCGAUACUGGCGGGCUUGAAUCCGGGAGAGGGAUGCGGAAUUCCAGGUGUAGCGGUGAAAUGCGUAGAUAUCUGGAGGAACACCGGUGGCGAAGGCGGCAUCCUGGACCGGCAUUGACGCUGAGGCGCGAAAGCUAGGGGAGCAAACGGG